GUGACUCCAGCCCGGCCAGAAACAGAGGAGCCUUUGUGUGCAGCGAGUGAGCCAGAGGCAGUCCACAGGGGGAGCGGGAAGGAGAACGCUGACACAGGUUCCGAGGGGCUGACAGGAUGCCACUGCAGGGAGAUUAACUCUUUGUUCCACAAGGGGAGCUUCUGUUCAUGGCUCACAGUAGAGCAGAAUACUUUUAAAAAUAAAACAGCGAGCUUGCGAAGGGACACACAUAUUUCUGUAGCCAGAGUUGAGAUGAGAGGCAGACCGAAGCAACUGGAAGCAAGAGCAAUGUCCCAGCAGGAGUUUUUGGUCGAUUAGCCUGGGCACUUCCUUGGGGUCCUCCCUUCUAAACACUGCAGGCUAUUUCUGUGCUGCUGCUCCCCUCACACACACCCCUUCUCCUCCUGGAUGGCUGGGAUGAACCGCAGGAGAUAGCAGGGCAGCCUGGACCACACCUCCCCUGGUUCUGCUUCCUCAGGAGCAGGGAGGCUGGUAGUUGGCAGGACCCUGCCAGAGGGAAGCUGCCAUGCCACUGAUUCAGCCCACCCUGGCCACACCCUCAGGCACCAGAGCCCACUGGUGUCAUCCUUCACCAAGGUGCUUCGGAACCAUGGACAUUUGGUGAGCGUGGGCUCUGCUGGCACUGAGCAAGGAGGUGGCCCUCAGCCUGGCUCACCAGCCUACACUGCUCAGAGCCCACCUGCCUCAGUGCCAGCGUGCCCUUCCCCCAACUCCACUUCCACCCAGAAAUUGCUGCAUUGAACCCUACUGAAGUGAGCAAGUCAAAUUUCCUGAAAGUCUGCAGAAUGUGACUUUCGGACUUUGGCAGGAGGAGGAAAGGAAACAAGGUUCAUUUUGCCCUCGCCCCGUGGGACUGCUCAGGAGUUCAGACGUGAGGGCGGCAGUGAGUGGCACGCCUUGCUGAACAUCACGCCACGAGCACUCACACUUCCUCCCACUAGUAUUCUUCACUCUUUGCUUACAUGAAGAUUGCUGAGCUCCUUGCAAGUGUCAGGUUCUUUGUUGGAUAGCGGGGCUACAGUGGUAAAUGAGACAGAUCAGUGCCUGCCCACACAAGGGCCUUCGGUCCAUCCAGACAUGUAAAAAAGCCACUCACACAAUAAUGUCCAUUGGUAGUCAAGAAAAUGGUGACAGUUGUACUGAGUAAAUGGUGACCAUCGGUGGUAAGAGGUAAAAGGGAAAUUUGUUGGUCCUUAAUGGUAUGAAAUCCAGUCUUACAGGUGUAUUUUGGUUUCCCCAGUCUGUGAAGUGUCAUCAGUUCUUCUCUACAUUUCACAGAGGAAUCAUGGAAAUUAUGGGUCUAGAAUGGCCGUAAACUGCAGAAUAUUGAGGCAGUACCAAGCCCUGGUGCUCGGGCAAGAGGCUCCUGACCCCAGCCUUUGAUCUACCAGACUCGGGGGCUGAUGAAUUUUUUUUGUGGUUGCUUUUUAGAAUAGUAGCCAGCCCUCUCAAGCGUGUGAGUGUGUGUGUGUGUGUGUGUGUGUGUGUGUGUGUGUGUGUUCAGCACCUAUGAAAUCGGUACUCAAGGGCUCAGUACCUAUGAAAUUGGGCUAAAGGGUACUUGGCAAACAUAAUGCUGUGUUAGAAAUGAGGUUGCCACCAGGCACCAAACCCUCUCCACUUCACAGACGGAAUCAUGGGGCAGAACCCUGGGCUCACUCAGGUGCAAAACAAGCAGCUUUUAUCAGGGUUGCCCAGAACUCCCAGGCCUUUGCCCCUGUCCACUCCCGGGUCUUCCACAGUCCCCAACCAUGUUUUCCUACCCCUCCAAGGGCUGACCACUCCCCACCAGUUCAUUUUGCAUGAACCUCUGAAGCCCC
rnacentral:lncRNA from 1 species